rfam:Oryza meridionalis cultivar OR44 (W2112) chromosome 7, whole genome shotgun sequence.
CCGCUCCCUCUCAAUGAGCCGCCAGAUCUCCCAGUGAGGAGGCCAGGGCCGCCAGAUCCUGUAACCCCAGUCUCCUCACCGGCGGAUCUGGCGCUCAGAGAGGUACAAG